GGGUUUAGGAUGGUUAUCUAGUGACAGUGCAGUAGGGUUUAGGAUGGUUAUCUAGGGAGAGUGCAGUAGGGUUUAGGAUGGUUAUCUAGUGACAGUGCAGUAGGGUUUAGGAUGGUUAUCUAGUGAGAGUGCAGUAGGUUUAGGAUGGUUAUCUAGGGAGAGUGCAGUAGGGUUUAGGGUUUAUCAGGAUGUGGCAGAAAAACAAUGCGUUUGAGUGCUGAGGACAUUCAUUCUUAAUACUUCUGAGAGACAUUUUGUCUUAAAAGAUUUUCUGUUAAAUAAAGAAGUAUUAAUAUCAACACACAAAAACAAGAGAUUUAUAAGCUGCAUAAUGUCAUCGGAAUAAACGACCUAAAUAGUUUAAACAGCCUCGCUCUGGGACUGCAGCGCUGUAGGAUAAACAACAGAUUAGACUCUAUUUGCAUUACAAAUGUACAUACAAUAAACAGGAUGAGGCAGGAGCGUUCGCCGAGACAACUAUCAAGAAAGUCUUGCCAAAAUGUUGCCAACACCAUUAACAUCCUGCGCAUCAAAUAUUAAUGCUGUCUUACAAAAUGUUGUUGGACUACUUAAUAAAAAACAAAACAAAACAAAACAAGCAGCUACACAGAAACAGAAACAGCGACACAGAAGCAAAACAUGACAUAGAAAAUAGCCUAAUUAAAGCUGGUUUAUUAACAAUAAAGAGUGUGAAAAAUGUCCGUCCUCAGCACAGUAAAAAAACGCUACCAAGUGCUCUAAGCCUGGGGUGAAAAGGGCUAUAUGUAUAAGUGAUGUAGGGUGUAGUGGAGUUAUAUAGGGUCUAGUGUAAAAUACUCAUAUUAGGCUUCUGGUGUCUUCCAGAGGGGCUUCUGUAUCUGUCCCUCAUCGAAGGAGGUGUGGCCGCUGUAUCUGUUUAUCUCAUCGAAGAAGGUGUGGCCUCUGUGUCUGUCAGUCCCAGUGAAGGAGGUGUGGCCUCUGUGUCUGUCUAUCUAAUUGAAGGAGGUGUGGCCACUGUAUCUGUCUAUCUCAUUGAAGGAGGUGUGGAGUCUGUAUCUUUCAAUCUCAUUGAAGAAGGUGUGGCCUCUGUAGCUGUCUGUCCCAGUGAAGGAGGUGUGGCCUCUGUGUUUGUCUGUCCCAGUGAAGGAGGUUUCGCCUCUGUGUCUGUCUGUCCCAGUGAAGAAGGUGUGGCUUCUGUGUCUGUCAGUCCCAGUGAAGGAGGUGUGGACUCUGUGUCUGUCUGUCCCAGUGAAGGAGGUGUGGCCUCUGUGUCUGUCUGUCCCAGUGAAGGAGGUGUGGCCUCUAUGCCUCAGUCCCAUUUAAGUGGGAAUAGCCUCUGUGCCUCUCCAUCCCAGUAAAAGAGGCAUGGCCUGAUAGUUUUGCCUGCCUUAGUGAACGAGGCGUGGCUUCUCUAUCUGCCUAUCUUGUUGAAAGACUGCCGUGCCUGUUCGUCCCAAUAAAUGGGGUGUUGCCUCUGUGUCUGUCAGUCCAAGUGAAAAGGGCGUUGCCUAUGCGCCUGUCAGUUCCAAUGAAGUUAGUUGUUGUAGAACAACAAACUAGUUGCAUUUGUUAGUUGUAGAACCAGAUGAUGUUCAGUACUCGAUAUAAGCCAACAGUCCGAAUGUGUUCCUGUCCAUGCCUGCUCCCUACCUGUCCCUGUUUUGAAAAUUGCUUGCUCCUUCUGUUCACAGCUGCGGAUGUGUUAUAAAUAGAGCGGAGGAUUGAUGAGAGGACAGCGAAGCUUGCUGCGUGCUGGUGAUUUCUCCGUAGCGUUUGUCCAGACCCGGCAUCAGUGACAUUAAGCACACGCGCUCGGAGCUAGCAGGCCAUCACUCAGACGGCAGGAGUGUCUGCAUUUGUGCGUGUGUAGGAAGAUCUGAAUGGAAAGGCUGUAAAUUAUAGAGCAGCAGAGCUGCUAACCUCAUGUUGAGUUGUUAUCGUGUUUGCGUGUGUGCGCGCCUGUGGGGAAGCGACGAACCCACGCGUGGCCAGCCUUGUUUGCGUGCGAGCUCGAGCACCUCUUUGCGGCGCACACUCAAUCCCCGCUACGGCCUGAACGGCAAAGCUACUCAAACACAGUGGCAGUAAUGAGGGCAAUUACACAGGCUUAUCUAAAUCACUUGCACACAUGGGCUCAGUAAACACACACACACACACACACACACACACAUGGCAAACACCCCUUUCCCAUUGUGCAUCCACUUGGGCUUGGUUAUUUAUUAUUUAUUAAGUUAAUUAUGUCCCCGGUCAUGUUGACACACUUAACUUGCACUUCAGUGUCAGUGAACACAUGAGGUAUUCAAGCAGAACGCUGGCCACGGACGCACUUCCUUUACACAGUGUCUUAUUACAGUCUGAGAUUUUAGCAGAACCCUUAUCGCUGACCCUUUUACUCCAUUUUAUAACACAGAAAGAGGGCCGGCCCAAAUAGCAGUGGUGCGACACAAAAGCAUCUGCCUCAUUGUCCGGAGAUUGUGAAUUCAAAGCCUGACAGCAAAAUUGCGCUUCCCUUUGAGUGUGUUAUGAAAAGAUGGGAAUGGCUGGUUCCACGUGUCUUGGAAGGAAGCACUUGUGAGACUUCGUCCUCCCUGGAUGGGAGCUGUUCUUUGUUGGGGAGAGCUGACCGUGAGUGGGACUCCAGGAGAAAACGGAGGAGGGGGAAAAGAAAAUGAGGAUCAUUUUAAGUAGGCUCGCUAGUACAGUUCCAAAGAGGCGGCAACGGGAUACGCACUAACAGCGUAUGCAUUAGUGUGAUGUGCAUGUCAAAGAGUUAUGUUGGUUAUAUACAGUGUGUACAAUCCGUGAUUAAAAUAAAAUAAAAACCAGCCUGAUUACUUUAGAGGAGUGUAAAAAAAACAGCCUACACUGUAAGCGUGUAGCCGUGCGACAAUGACAAAGGUACUUACACCACAACUACCAAGAAAAUGUCAUCAUCAUAACUCACAUUUAGCUAGCUGUACUGCUUGUGUCACAGAUACAUCUGACUCAUACAGAUGAUGUAUCAUACAGAUACAUCUGACUCUAACCACCUUCAUACAGAUACAUCUGACU
ensembl:lncRNA